rnacentral:misc_RNA from 1 species
GUGAAUCAUCGAAUCUUUGAACGCACACUGCACUCUCUUCGGAGAGUAUGCCUGUUUGAGGGUCAGCCUAAAAAAAAAUCGACAUAGUCGCUUUUUCGCGGUGGCCUUCGUCGGAAAUUUGGUCAUCUUCAACCUUUGGGUUUUAAGCGGCUUAAAGUUUUCUUUUCGCUUCCCCUAACGUUUCUCAGAUUUACUUCUUACACGUUUAAGGUGAUGGCUCUUUCUUAGACUUUGCCGUUGCUUCG